ACUAAGCUUGAAUGCUGGUGUCCAUGGAUC
rnacentral:piRNA from 1 species